rnacentral:rRNA from 1 species
CAGUCGCCGCGGUAAUACAGAGGGUGCGAGCGUUAAUCGGAUUUACUGGGCGUAAAGCGUGCGUAGGCGGCUUUUUAAGUCGGAUGUGAAAUCCCUGAGCUUAACUUAGGAAUUGCAUUCGAUACUGGGAAGCUAGAGUAUGGGAGAGGAUGGUAGAAUUCCAGGUGUAGCGGUGAAAUGCGUAGAGAUUUGGAGGAAUACCGAUGGCGAAGGCAGCCAUCAGGCCUAAUACUGACGCUGAGGUACGAAAGCAUGGGGAGCAAACAGGAUUAGAUACCCCCGUAGUCCCUGUCUCUUAUAC